UUGGAGGUAUAUAUUUAAAACAAGGUGCAA
rnacentral:piRNA from 1 species